rnacentral:misc_RNA from 2 species
GUAAGGAACAAGUGGCGCGCUCCAGCGAUUACCUCGAUGGCCAGUUGAGUUUUCGCGAACGCUUGAUGGUGCGCCAUCACUUGAUGUUUUGCCCCAACUGCCGGCGUUUCAUCCGGCAGAUGCGCCUGAUGCAGGCCACCUUGCGCGCAAUGCCCGAGGAGCCGGUCGUGGGUGUCGAUGAACUGGCUGAGCGCCUGGCCAGCGAGCAGCGCAAGCACCGCGACUAGUUCACGCCCUCGCG